rnacentral:rRNA from 1 species
GUUAAAAAGCUCGUAGUUGAACCUUGGGCCUGGCUGGCCGGUCCGCCUCACCGCGUGUACUGGUCCGGCCGGGCCUUUCCUUCUGGGGAACCUCAUGCCCUUCACUGGGCGUGUUGGGGAACCAGGACUUUUACUUUGAAAAAAUUAGAGUGUUCAAAGCAGGCCUUUGCUCGAAUACAUUAGCAUGGAAUAAUAGAAUAGGACGUGUGGUUCUAUUUUGUUGGUUUCUAGGACCGCCGUAAUGAUUAAUAGGGAUAGUCGGGGGCAUCAGUAUUCAAUUGUCAGAGGUGAAAUUCUUGGAUUGAUUGAAGACUAACUACUGCGAAAGCAUUUGCCAAGGAUGUUUUCAUUAAUCAGUGAACGAAAGUUAGGGGAUCGAAGACGAUCAGAUACCGUCGUAGUCUUAACCAUAAACUAUGCCGACUAGGGAUCGGACGGUGUUAGUAUUUUGACCCGUUCGGCACCUUACGAGAAAUCAAAGUUUUUGGGUUCUGGGGGGAGUAUGGUCGCAAGGCUGAAACUUAAAGAAAUUGACGGAAGGGCACCACCACGCGUGGAGCCUGCGGCUUAAUUUGACUC